UGUAAACGUAUACCAAAGUUGUUGCAGUUAAAACGCUCGUAGUCGGAAUUUGGCAGUUCCGGAUGUGUGCACGUCGUGUGCGCACUUCGCGGGGAUUGCUUUUGUGGUCUUGCGUAGGAUGAGGCACUUUUAUUAGUGAACGUCCUCACGCAACCACUUUUUACUGUGAGAAAAUCAGAGUGCUCAAAGCAGGCAUUUGCCGUGAAUGUAUUAGCAUGGAAUAAUAGAAUAGGACUUGGUUCUAUUUUGUUGGUUUGUUGGGACUGAGUAAUGAUUAAGAGGGACAGUUGGGGGCAUUUGUAUUUCGGUGCUAGAGGUGAAAUUCUUAGAUUACCGAAAGACAAACUGCUGCGAAAGCGUCUGCCAAGGAUGUUUUCAUUGA
rnacentral:rRNA from 1 species